rnacentral:rRNA from 1 species
CGAACCGUCCAAACGUUAUUCGGAUUUAUUGGGCUUAAAGGGUAUGUAGGCGGCCCUUCAAGUCGGGUGUGAAAGCCCUCGGCUCAACCGAGGAACUGCGCCCGAUACUGCAGGGCUUGAGGGAGACAGAGGUAAGCGGAACUGAUGGUGGAGCGGUGAAAUGCGUUGAUAUCAUCAGGAACACCAGUGGCGAAAGCGGCUUACUGGGUCUCUUCUGACGCUGAGAUACGAAAGCUAGGGGAGCGAACGGGAUUAGAUACCCCGGUAGUCCUAGCUGUAAACGAUGAGCACUUGAUCGUGGGGCCCCCCAUAGCCUCUCGGUCGCAGCGAAAGUGGUAAGUGCUCCGCCUGGGGAGUAUGGUCGCAAGGCUG